UUUGGGUUAGUGACAUAGUCAUAGGCUAAGAUCCGCGACUCCACUUCCCGAACCCUUUGGGCACCAUGGCUUCGAGCCUAGCACCUUCCCUUGUCUCCGGUAAUACGUCUUGGGAGAGGUUACGCCAGCAGGUUGCCCAAUUCUCGGGUCAUCCCCGCACUUCUUCUAUCUCAUCAUCAUCUUCUUCUUCUUAUCUCUAAACUAAGCCAUCAUCAAUUCACUCUUAUUGUUCUCUUUCUUAUCUAUUUUUUCUUCUUCUCUGCCACUCAAGCCUUUAAAGACUAGAACCACUAUCCCAUAUGUGCAUUAGGAGGAGGUUACCAUACGCGAAUUCUACUAGCAAUCUUUUAGUAAGAUUUCAAGUGAGAUAUUAAUUUUUGAGGGGGCCUAAUUCAUACCACGCCAUUGGACAGCCGUAAGGCUUUUGUAAUUGAUCUAAGAGGGCUACAACCCGGACGCGUCCCACAAACUCAAUCGGUGAGGUAGGUGUUUGAGUCCACCUCUUGACCGCUUUAAAAUCCUCUCACUAUUGGAAUACCUAUCCGCACAUGGCACGCGAGUGCACACACGCGUGUGGGUCGAGCGGUUGUUCGAGAGGGUGUUCAUCAAGCCUGGUUCCCCGAAGGAGCCUGAACGACAAUAAAUCCAAGCCCA
rnacentral:lncRNA from 1 species